GUCUAACGGUGGCAUGAAGGAUGGAAGCGGCAUCCUUUUAUGUAAUGCAAUGGAAUAAAAGAUAUAGCGGACAGCCUGACCACGC
rnacentral:sRNA from 1 species